rnacentral:rRNA from 1 species
UACGUAGGGUGCGAGCGUUGCCCGGAUUUAUUGGGCGUAAAGGGCGCGUAGGCGGCUCGGCACGUCCGUUGUGAAAUCGCCCGGCUCAACUGGGCGGGGUCAGCGGAUACGGCCGAGCUUGAGCAAGCUAGGGGGCAAUGGAAUUCCCGGUGUAGUGGUGGAAUGCGUAGAUAUCGGGAGGAACACCAGUGGCGAAGGCGGCUCACUGGCCCGGUACUGGCGCUGAGGUGCGAAAGCGUGGGGAGCAAACAGG